rnacentral:rRNA from 1 species
AGAGUUUGAUCCUGGCUCAGGAUGAACGCUGACAGAAUGCUUAACACAUGCAAGUCAAUGGGGAAACGGUGCUUGCACCGCGAUAACCAUGGCGGACGGGUGAGUAACGCGUAAAGAACUUGCUUCUUAGUCUGGGAUAACAGAUGGAAACGACUGAUAAGACUAGAUACUAUUAAAGCUUCGCAUGAAGCUUUAAUGAAAAGAGAUGCUAAGAGAGAGCUUUGCGUCCUAUUAGUUAGUUGGUGAGGUAACGGCUCACCAAGACGAAGAUAGGUAGCCGGUCUGAGAGGAUGAACGGCCACAAGGGGACUGAGAUACGGCCCUUACUCUUACGGGAGGCAGCAGUGGGGAAUAUUGGACAAUGGAGGAGACUCUGAUCCAGCAAUUCUGUGUGCACGAAGACGGUUUUCGGAUUGUAAAGUGCUUUCAGCAGGGAAGAAGAAAGUGACGGUACCUGCAGAAGAAGCGACGGCUAAAUACGUGCCAGCAGCCGCGGUAAUACGUAUGUCGCGAGCGUUAUCCGGAAUUAUUGGGCAUAAAGGGCAUCUAGGCGGAUAUACAAGUCAGGGGUGAAAACUUAGGGCUCAACUCAAAGCUUGCCUUUGAAACUGUAUAUCUAGAGUGCUGGAGAGGUGGACGGAACUACACGAGUAGAGGUGAAAUUCGUAGAUAUGUGUAGGAAUGCCGAUGAUGAAGAUAGUCCACUGGACAGCAACUGACGCUGAAGUGCGAAAGCUAGGGGAGCAAACAGGAUUAGAUACCCUGGUAGUCCUAGCUGUAAACGAUGAUUACUGGGUGUGGGCAUGAAGAGUGUCUGUGCCGAAGCUAAUGCGAUAAGUAAUCCGCCUGGGGAGUACGACCGCAAGGUUGAAACUCAAAGGAAUUGACGGGGACCCGCACAAGCGGUGGAGCAUGUGGUUUAAUUCGACGCAACGCGAGGAACCUUACCAGAUCUUGACAUCCUACGUAGGCCUGUGAGAACAGGCUGUGCCUUCGGGAACGUAGAGACAGGUGGUGCAUGGCUGUCGACAGCUCGUGUCGUGAGAUGUUGGGUUAAGUCCCGCAACGAGCGCAACCCCUAUAGUUAGUUACCAUCAUUAAGUUGGGGACUCUAACUAGACUGCCUGCGAAGAGCAGGAGGAAGGUGGGGAUGACGUCAAGUCAUCAUGCCC